UCUCCGUUGGUGAACCAGCGGAGGGAUCAUUACCGAGUUCUAGCAACUACCAACCCUUGCGAACCGUACCCCAGUCUGUUCUCGUUGCUUCCGGCAGGCGGGGGGGGCCACCUGGCCCCCCCCCCUGACGGGGGCGGCGGGCCCUCUGAACCUUUGUAUCUCAACCACAGAAAUCCGUCGGAACAAAACAAAAAAUAAUCAAAACUUUCAACAACGGAUCUCUUGGGUCUG
rnacentral:misc_RNA from 1 species